rnacentral:pre_miRNA from 1 species
CAAAUACUCCCUCCGUCCGGAAAUACUUGUCAUCAAAAUGGAUAAAAGGAAAUGUAUCUAGACGUAUUUUAGUUUUAGAUACAUCUAUUUUUAUCCAUUUUCAUGACAAGUAUUUUCGGACGGAGGGAGUAGAAA